GCCUGGGUGGCUGAGUCGGUUAAGUGUCCGACUUCAGCUCGGGUCAUGGUCUCACGAUCCGUAAGUUCAAGCCCUGCGUCGGGCU
rfam:Felis catus isolate Cinnamon breed Abyssinian chromosome B1, whole genome shotgun sequence.